UUCGAUUCCGGAGAGGGAGCCUUAAAAACGGCUACCACAUCCAAGGAAGGCAGCAGGCACGCAAAUUACCCAAUGGUCGAAGACCGAGGUAGUGACGAAGAAUAACAAUACAAGACUCCUCCGAGGCCUUGUAAUUGGAAUGAGUACAGUUUAAAACCGUUCCCGAGGAUCUAUUGGAGGGCAAGUCUGGUGCCAGCAGCCGCGGUAAUUCCAGCUCCAAUAGCGUAUAUUAAAGUUGUUGUGGUUAAAAAGCUCGUAGUUGGAUUUCGGCGGGUAGUGGUCGGUUUGAAUUGCUUUAACACUGGCUUUUUUACCCGUGUGUUUUGCCAGAAUUUAACGGGUGAUCUUCGCCGAUUGUCCGUUAGAACUGGCAGGUUUACUUUGAAAAAAUUAGAGUGCUCAAAGCAAGCUUGAUUGCUUGAAUAUUCGUGCAUGGAAUAAUAGAAUAGGAAGUCGUUUCUAUUUUGUUGGUUUUCGGAAAUCGACUUAAUGAUUAAUAGGGAUAGUCGGGGGCAUUUGUAUUCAAACGACAGAGGUGAAAUUCUUGGACCGUUUGAAGACAAACUACUGCGAAAGCAUUUGCCAGGAAUGUUUUCAUUAAUCAAGAACGAAAGUUAGAGGUUCGAAGGCGAUUAGAUACCGCCCUAGUUCUAACCAUAAACGAUGCCAGCUAGCGAUCUGCCGGUGCUUGAUUUUCUGGCCCGGCAGGCAGCUUCCGGGAAACCAAAGCUUGUGGGUUCCAGGGGAAGUAUGGUUGCAAAGCUGAAACUUAAAGGAAUUGACGGAAGGGCACCACCAGGAGUGGAGCCUGUGGCUUAAUUUGACCCAACACGGGAAAUCUCACCAGGCCCGGACACCAGAAGGAUUACAGAUUGAUAGCUCUUUCUUGAUUUGGUGGGUGGUGGUGCAUGGCCGUUCUUAGUUGGUGGAGUGAUUUGUCUGGUUAAUUCCGAUAACGAACGAGACUCUGUCCUGUUAAAUAGAUCCAACCUAGUUGUAGGGUUGGAAUGUCUUCUUAGAGGGACUGGUGAUUAUUAGUCACACGAGAUUGAGCAAUAACAGGUCUGUGAUGCCCUUAGAUGUUCUGGGCCGCACACGCGCUACACUGAAGUGAUCAGCUAGUUUUUCCCUCUCCGAGAGGAGCGGGUAAACUGUUGAACCCACUUCGUGGUAGGGAUCGGAGCUUGCAAUUAUUCUCCGUGAACCAGGAAUUCCCAGUAGGUGCAAGUCAUAAGCUUGCAUCGAUUACGUCCCUGCCCUUUGUACACACCGCCCGUCGCUACUACCGAUUGAGUGUUUUAGUGAGGACCUCGGAUUGCUUGCCUGGCGGUUAACGCUGCCUAGCUGGCGAAAAGACGUCCAAACUGUAGCACUUAGAGGAAGUAAAAGUCGUAACAAGGUU
rnacentral:rRNA from 1 species